GACGAACGCUGGCGGCGUGCUUGACACAUGCAAGUCGAACGGAAAGGCCUGCUUUCCCUUGUGGAUUGCGGGUACUCGAGUGGCGAACGGGUGAGUAACACGUGAGUGAUCUGCCCCCAACUUGGGUAUAAGCCUGGGAAACUGGGUCUAAUUCCCGAUAGGACUGCAGGGUGGUGCCUGUGGUGGAAAACGAUUUUCUAGUGGUUGGGGAUGAGCUCGCGGCCUAUCAGCUUGUUGGUGGGGUAAUGGCCUACCAAGGCGGCGACGGGUAGCCGGCCUGAGAGGGUGGACGGCCACAUUGGGACUGAGAUACGGCCCAGACGCCUACGGGAGGCAGCAGUGGGGAAUAUUGCACAAUGGGCGGAAGCCUGAUGCAGCGACGCCGCGUGGGGGAUGACGGCCUUCGGGUGGUAAACUCCUUUCGACCGCGAGGAAGCCACCUGGUUGGAAGGGUGGUGACGGUAGUGGUAGAAGAAGCACCGGCUAACUACGUG
rnacentral:rRNA from 1 species